rnacentral:rRNA from 1 species
GACGAACGCUGGCGGCGUGCUUAACACAUGCAAGUCGAACGGAAAGGCCCUGCUUUUGUGGGGUGCUCGAGUGGCGAACGGGUGAGUAACACGUGAGUAACCUGCCCUUGACUUUGGGAUAACUUCAGGAAACUGGGGCUAAUACCGGAUAGGAGCUCCUGCUGCAUGGUGGGGGUUGGAAAGUUUCGGCGGUUGGGGAUGGACUCGCGGCUUAUCAGCUUGUUGGUGGGGUAGUGGCUUACCAAGGCUUUGACGGGUAGCCGGCCUGAGAGGGUGACCGGCAACAUGGGGACUGAAUUAGGGCCCGACCUCUACCGGAAGCAAGAGGGGGGAAUAAUGGACCAUGGGCCGGAGGCCGAAUCAACAAAGCCGCGGUGCGGGUGAACGGCCUCCGGUUGGAAACCGCUUUCGCCUGUGACGAAGCGUGAGUGACGGUAAUGGGUAAAGAAGCACCGGCUAACUACGUG